rnacentral:rRNA from 1 species
UACAGAGGGUGCAAGCGUUGUUCAGAAUUAUUGGGCGUAAAGCGCGUGUAGGCGGCUUUGCAAGUCGGGUGUGAAAGCCCUCAGCUCAACUGAGGAAGUGCGCCCGAAACUGCAGAGCUUGAGUACCGGAGAGGAUGGUGGAAUUCCCCAAGUAGAGGUGAAAUUCGUAGAUAUGGGGAGGAACACCGGUGGCGAAGGCGACCAUUUGGACGGAUACUGACGCUGAGACGCGAAAGCGUGGGUAGCAAACAGG